CAAGGAAUUUUCCGCGAUGGGCGAAAGCCUGACGGAGCAACGCCGCGUGCAGGAAGACGGCCUUCGGGUUGUAAACUGCUUUUGUUGGGGAAGACAUGGACGGUACCCAACGAAUAAGCCCCGGCUAACUCCGUGCCAGCAGCCGCGGUAAGACGGAGGGGGCAAGCGUUGUCCGGACUCACUGGGCGUAAAGGGCGUGCAGGCGGCUCUGUGCGUCGGCGCUGAAAGCGCCCGGCUUAACCGGGCGAGGUGCGUCGAUACGAUAGAGCUUGAGGGAAGGAGAGGCUAGCGGAAUUCCGGGUGUAGUGGUGAAAUGCGUAGAGAUCCGGAGGAACGCCCAGGGGGAAACCAGCAUACUGGACAGGUCCUGACACUCAGGUGCGACAGCGUGGGGAGCGAACCGGAUUAGAUACCCCCGUAGUCC
rnacentral:rRNA from 1 species